AGUGAACGCUGGCGGUAGGCCUAACACAUGCAAGUCGAACGGCAGCACAGUAAGAGCUUGCUCUUACGGGUGGCGAGUGGCGGACGGGUGAGGAAUACAUCGGAAUCUACUUUUUCGUGGGGGAUAACGUAGGGAAACUUACGCUAAUACCGCAUACGACCUACGGGUGAAAGCAGGGGAUCUUCGGACCUUGCGCGAUUGAAUGAGCCGAUGUCGGAUUAGCUAGUUGGCGGGGUAAAGGCCCACCAAGGCGACGAUCCGUAGCUGGUCUGAGAGGAUGAGUAGGCAGACUGGGACAGACACGCGGUACAGGCGCCAACAGGAGGCAGCAGUGGGGAAUGUGGGAAGAUGGGCGCGAGGCUGAUCCAGCCAUAUGUAGAGGAAGAAGAAGGCCUUCGGGUUGUAAAGCACUUUUGUCGGGAAAGAAAGAAAAAGCGCUAAUACCCCGCUUUUCAGACGGUGCCCAAAGAAUACGCACCGGAUAACUCCGUG
rnacentral:rRNA from 1 species